UGGAAACCACCUCAGUAACCACAUUCAGCAAGUCCUGACUAAUUCUCCUCUCUCAAUGCAGGAACUAGGCCAUCAGAAGAACUGGUUUUGAGGACAAACUAAUGUCUGAUGCCGCAACCAAGUGUUGCAGAAAAGAAAAAGUGGCUCUGUGUGUCCACCAAAAACUGAGAGCUGAGAGUUCUAAUUCUGGGCUGGCCAGUUUAGCAAAGUGUCUCUAUGGUGGACCCUAACUCCUGGGGAAUUUAGCUCCUCUUGUACCUCAAAGAAUUGGUAUAGGGAGGGAAAAUAGUCAGUGUCCAGCCUCUGAGUGAAGGUGAAAUAGCCCAGAGGAGUCCCCUGGCUUGAGUCAGAGCAAUGGAAUUCUUACCCACAUCAUAGGAAAGACUAAGGAGCAAGGAAAUACCAAACAGCAUGGGAAGAUCAAAAUUUUAAUAUUGGAGUAAACAUGGCCUCAUUUUAAUGUUGCAUAGCCAGUCUUGAAGACAUCUGGCUUGUAUAUAUUUUUGUAUUUAUGAUUUUGGCUGUUCGAGGAGGGGGUGUCUAUGGAACUUUGCAACAUGUAAGUCGGAUGCUGAAUGAUAUUAUAUUUCAAGAUGCUUCUGGACCUUUGGAGCUGCUCAUUAAACAUGGAUCAGAAUCUGGUUCCAAGCCCGGUGAAGAACAAUCUUUCACCCUGGGUUUGAGGGGCAGAGCAGUCAUCCUGUCCGAUGUACUUCUCCUGCAACAGUACAGCCUGUCCUUAUUCCCACUAAAUUCUUUAGCUGUUUUCAAGUUUCCGGAAGAAACAAGCCUUUGUACUUUCUCUGUUACUCAGCCUCGGGUGUUCUAAAACAGACUAUGACAACUUCUAAGGUUAUUUGCACAUGGUUCAUAUACAUCCAUUUACAGGAGCUUUAUGUGCAUAGAACUCUUGUUUUAAAAUUUUGUAAGUACUUAAUUACUGAGAGACAAAUAUACAUUUUUUUUAUAAUUUGGGCUUAGUAGUUAAGCCAGAUUGUAAUAAACAUUUGAAGUCACUCUCACUGUUUAAAGAGUAGUGUGUGUAAACACAGGUACAGUUUGACUAUACAGAUCAAAAUUGCAGUCACUCAAAACUAAUUUUCAGAUUUUAAUCUCAAAAAUAGUGAGUAUAGUCACUAUUUCUUUAUUUCUUGAAGUUUAAAUUUAUUUAAGUCGAGGUAGGUUAAAACUUUACUUGAGCUAAUCUUAAAUAAACAUUAAAAAGAUUCCCAUAAAGUUGUUCUUUU
rnacentral:lncRNA from 1 species